rnacentral:rRNA from 1 species
UGACACAGCCAUAUCACCAUGCAGCCUAAGACCGGUUACUCACUGAAGCUAAGCAGACCUGUGCCAGGUCAGUACCUGUAUGGGAGACCACAUAGGAAAAACUAGGUUGCUGUUGAAA